rnacentral:rRNA from 1 species
GAUGAACGCUGGCGGCGUGCUUAACACAUGCAAGUCGAACGGAGAAAGGGUAGCUUGCUAUCUUUCUUAGUGGCGGACGGGUGAGUAACGCGUGGGUAACCUGCCCUUUGCAGGGGGAUAACAGUGAGAAAUCACUGCUAAUACCGCAUACCAACUUCUUUCGCAUGAAAGAAGUUUGAAAGAUUUAUCGGCAAAGGAUGGACCCGCGUUGGAUUAGCUAGUUGGUGAGAUAACAGCCCACCAAGGCAACGAUCCAUAGCCGGCCUGAGAGGGUGAACGGCCACACUGGGACUGAGACACGGCCCAGACUCCUACGGGAGGCAGCAGUGGGGAAUAUUGCACAAUGGGCGAAAGCCUGAUGCAGCGACGCCGCGUGAAGGAUGAAGGUCUUCGGAUUGUAAACUUCUAUCAGCAGGGAAGAAAGGGCCUAUGGCCUAUGACGGUACCUGACUAAGAAGCCCCGGCUAACUACGUG